AUAUGUUGGGUAAUUUUGAAGCAGAGCCAACUUAAUAGAUAGCCUACAUAGGCUAUAGAUGUUUCUCAAUAUUACUUUGUCUAGUCCACAAAAUGCAUUUUAAACAUAAGUUCAGGCGAGAAUAUAUAUGUAUAAUGUUCAAAUUUGCAGUCGGUUUGUAAAGUGAACGCCAAUUUUAAAGUUUAAUUUCACAAAGUCGGAAUGUUACCGGCCAUCGUUUCCGCCCACCGGGUGUCAGUGUUGUUCUUCCCCAGAGAGAAAUCCUCCCUUCCCCCACACAGACGGUCAGCUGAACUCCUGCUCACUGCACGUUACCUGACGCGGGAGUUUAUUACCUCAAGAUUCAUGCAACGGUUUUUCAUCGAGUUAUCUUUGAUUCAUUUGAAGGAAAAGGUUUGUAUCAUUGUUUUUAAUCAUUUAAACUAUUUCUGAAUGCAAAAGUAUGCAAAAUGAUGGUUCAAAUGACAUAACUCUUAUUAAAAGUUUUAUUAGCUUUCGUUGGCUAGUCUGUAUGCCCAGUAAAUCUAUUCUGAACUAUGUUUAUGCUUGCUUUUAAAUGAUUUAAAUAUUUUGUUGGAUUAAACGUUUUAUGAAAUAUGUCUAAAACAUGGCUUUUUAAAAUAUUUUUAGAAACGUUAGUAUGUAACGUAUUCUAAUAGUUUAGUAAUUCAGUUUAAAACAGAUAACGUUGAUAUGAGGUAGAAACGUGUACGUUUUAAAUAAAUAAUCGUUUGUUGUAAAAGUUGAAAUCAAACUGAUGCUUUUAAUAUCAUGUUUAGAUCAUGAAACGUUAGCCUUGAGUUCACAGACAGGGUAUCACAACACAUAUUGUGAACUCUCAUUUGGUCUGUGUAAGUUACAGACAUUUUUGUCUUUUUUCAAAUGUUUUUGAUGAUGCCCACUUAAAUCACAGUUUUGGCUCGUUUCCACAGACCCUGAUGAAUAAAAGAUGGAUAUUUUUUCCUGGAGAAGCUAAAACAAUGUAACUUUGAGGUUCUGAUACCAGCUUUUACAAAGUUAUUUACAGAGUUCACAAGACUUCUCUGUGUUAUUUCCUGACCAUGCCGAAACUUGGGCACUGCAUUUUACAGACAAUCCUGCAACUUCCCAGCCAAGAACCAGGAGCAUCAACAAAUCACCUCCAGAACCCCAUGAUGAUAUUUCAAGUCCUGUCUACAAAAGUGGGAAGAAAAUCUUAAGUCUAUGUUGGGACCAACAUGGUUGCAUUCUUCUGAGAGGCUGAGGUGACAAAACCAUUCCCUUUUGUCCUUGGCUUGGAAGAUGACGAUCUCUGCCAUCAAGCCUUCGUUGUUUUGACAGACAGUCACUCCAGCAAUACACCCUCCUUGGUGAUGUUGACAUGUUUUAAACUUUUUUUAUGUUUUGGACAUUCAUUUUACUAAGCAGUGCACAUCAGUGUGGGUGUUUUUGAAGACUGUUGUUUACAAACUCCCAAGAACGGAAUCCCUUUCUAUAAGAAGUCUGUGUAGUUAUUUGUCAUGCUAAGGUGAUAACUCAUGUUGAUCAUAUAUUGACUGUUUGUGCAACUUUGUGUUGAUCUUAUGUGUUACAUUAACCAUUUCUUAUUACACGGUUCUCUAAAAUGCUAGUUUCUGAUUGGCCAGUCGUGAUAUUCUACUACUGCUCAAAACUAAAAACUCCAAUGCUGCAAAUCAUUUUGACAGGUACAGUUUUAUAUUACACAAAAAUUAAAUAUCAAUGUCUAUUAAUUGCAUAUCCGACAUUAAAUUUACAAAUAAUUAAACCAAUGUGUUCGUGACAUUUGUCCUGAAGAAACUGUUGGGGCUUUUUUCUGUGAUGACAUGCUGCCAAUACAUUAUCCCUUACUUGUACAACUUUUUACUUGAUCUAAUUGUAAUGUUAAUUGGGUAUCUGUCAUUUUAGAUUGUGAGAUAUAAUACUAAUAUAUAUUUUUUUAUCAGAAAGUUGAUUGUUUGU